ACCACUCAUGUAAACUCGGCUUGAGGCUUCGGUAAUGUGACUUUCCUCUCUAUACAUUUCCCGCUCCCAGUCCACCCGUCAUAUCGAAAUGUGUCGCGGAAGGUUCAGCCCUCCCGCGUUAUUGCUAAGUUAACAGUGUUUAAUUAACAAUUAAUUACUUGGUACGCUUAAUAAUAAUGAUUGCAAUUUACUAUGUUAGCAGAUUCCGCCAGGCUAACCCGAUAUAUGUCAAUGACAGUGCUCAUAAAAACGGGAGAACGAGGAACAAGAUCAAUGUCAGGUUACAACAGUACUGACAGAAUAAAUAAUUAUUCAGAAACACAUUGUGUAGCGGGGCCAACAAUAAUCAUCAGCACCGCCACACGUUAGCUUAUUCCAUUGGAUGCGAAGGAACACCCCAGAACAACGCCGUACAGUUUCGAUCCUGUUAUAAUAGUACAACUAUAACGGAGAAGAUUCCCGCAACAAUCUUCUUAGUAUUCAUUUAUUAUCCGCAGCAAAACAUCAUAGCUAUUCUAUAAUGCUUCUAUACAGCAUGUUACUUGCUUAUUUAUGUUAUGUUUCUAACAACAGUCAUUCAGCAGCUGUCUAUAUAAUUUAUUAUCUUUUUCAGCUUUCUUUAGACAAUUCCUUUAAUGGGAAGACCACUGCACGCAUUACAAGGAUUGAGUUAUCACCCAGUGUCGACACACAGUAUCGACCAAAGUGAUGGCGAUCACAACUCUAUAAACAACCACCACAGUAUUAUACCGAGGCAGUAUUUAAGUCUGCCCAGCUGUCAUAAAUACCUUUUAUAUUGAGGUUAUAAAAAGCGGCAGUGCACGGGGAGUAUAUUUUACUUUUAUAUAUCAAUCAAUAAUACAAUUCCAUGCUACUCAUGGCCAGACGAACUCAGUAUUUUGUUAUUACUGUUAUUAUUAUAUCAGUCAAUCAAAUAUAUAUUAUAUUAGCCUGUGUUAAGUUUAUAUUUAACAAUAUUUAUACCGUAAUACCUGUGAGUGUAUACUACAGCCAAUUAUUUCUCUUUCCAGGUUUAUACACUUAGUGCAUUGAGAGUCGUCACUAAAGUCAAAUAAAUAACUACAAUGAUCCGUCUCAAUGCAGCAGCAAUUAAGUUUAGUAACGUCGCAGCUGAUCUGCAACCAGUUCAGGCAUAAGACAGGUCGAUCAAAUUAUCACCAUUAAUUACAAUAUAUGCUCGCAAUUACACAGAAAUUGCGUGUCAUGCAUCCAGUACGCAGUACCAAAAUCAACCAAUAAUCCUAUUAUAAUAUAUAAGGAGAGUAUUUAUUCACAAUUAUUAUCGUGAAAUAUGCCUCGAUUCGAUAAAAUAUAUAAAUUAUCACUAUUAAUUACAGUAAUUAUAUCACCGAGCUCAUUUUAAUUUAGUUAAUUUAAGUAAAUUAUUGCCCCUACGCAAGAAAGAAACUACUAGCUAUAUUUAUUCACUUAUCUGUCUAUUUACUUAUUGUCUUAUAUAUACACAAUAUAGGCA